AGAGUUUGAUCAUGGCUCAGGAUGAACGCUAGCUACAGGCUUAACACAUGCAAGUCGAGGGGCAGCAUGUUGGUUGCUUGCAACCAAUGAUGGCGACCGGCGCACGGGUGAGUAACGCGUAUCCAACCUACCCUUGUCCAUCGGAUAACCCGUCGAAAGGCGGCCUAACACGAUAUGCGGUUCACAGCAGGCAUCUAAGGUGAACGAAAUGUGAAGGAGAAGGAUGGGGGAUGCGUCUGAUUAGCUUGUUGGCGGGGUAACGGCCACCAAGGCGACGAUCAGUAGGGGUUCUGAGAGGAAGGUCCCCACAUUGGAACUGAGACACGGUCCAAACGUCCUACGGGAGGCA
rnacentral:rRNA from 1 species